rnacentral:lncRNA from 10 species
AUAGUUGGAGAAAUCCAGAUUAUACAUAAAUACGAAAAGAAGUGCAAUGAAAGAGGGAAAUGCAGUUUAAGUAAUAAUGAUAUUGUUUUCACCCAUAUGCUUGGCAACUUUUGGAAAAUAACCUUGCAAUAUCUAAAAUUCAGGGAAAAAAACGCCUUAGAACUUUGACACAGCCAUCUCACAUUUGGGAAUAUAUCCUUGAGAAAGAAAAUCUCCAAUUUAUAACAAUACAUGUACAAAAGUGUUUAUUUCUGCAUUUUUCCUUUUAUUGAGAUACAGUUCACAUUCCAUAGAAUUCACCCAUUUAGAAUAUACAUUUAUAUAUUAUAUAAAUGUAUUUAGAAUAUACAUUUAUAUAUUAUUCCAUUUCUCCAUAGCUUAUCAACACUUGUUAUUGUCUGUCUUUUUUAUUCUAGCCUUCCUAGUGGGUAUAAAGUCAAUGAAAUUGCUGGGUCAAAGGGUAUGUAAAUUUUACAUUUUAAUAGAUAUUGCCAAAUUGCCCUGUAGGAGUUCGAGACCAGCCUGGCCAACAUGGUGAAACCCCGUCUCUAUUAAAAAUACAAAAAUUAGCUGGGCACAGUGACGCGCACCUGUAGUCCCAGGUACUCAGGAGGCUGAGACAGGAGAAUCACUUGAACCCAGGAGACAGAGGUUGCAGUGAGCCAAGAUUGUGCCACUGCACUCCAGCCUGGGCAACAGAGCAAGACUAAGAAUCAAACAUAACCACAAUAACACAUUCGUACCUAUAAAAUUAACAGUAAUUUUUAAAUGUCAUCCAAUACUCAGUGCAUGUUCAAAUUAUCACUUAUCCCAAAAAUGUCAUAUGGUUUAAAAAUCAAUUUUGUUAAGGUAUGUCUUACACACAAUAAGAUCUGCCUAUUUUAAGAGUACAUUUAAAUGAGCUUUGACAAGGGUGUACACACCUAUAACCACCAUCAUAAUCAAAGAGAAUAUUUUGAUUCCACAAAAAGCUGCCUCAUCUUCCUGUAGUCAAUUCUACCUCCCUGCCCCAUCCUUAGCCCCAGGCAACAGUGAAUGUGCUUUUUGUUACAUUAUAUAUCACAAAUAUACCUGUAUGUGUGUGCGUGUGUACAUAUAUAUAAAAUAUACAUGUUAUUUUAUAUUUAUAUAUAUAGCCACUUAAAACUUUUCCUGCUUAUAAAUAAUUUUUAGCAAUUUGAUUAUGAUGUUAUUUGUGUUUAUCUAUCUUGGGUAUCAUUGAGCUUCUUGGAUCUGUGGGUUUAUCGUUUGCAUCAGAAAUGGCAAAUUUUCAGUCACGAUUUCAUCAAAAAAAUUUUUUUUGCCACCUUCUAUCUUCUUGGGCUCCAAUUACAUGUAUGUUUGACUGAUGGAUAUCAUGCCACAGGUCACUGAGUUUCUGUUUUUGUUUUUGUCUUUUCUCCUCUCUGCUCAUUAGUUGAAUAUUUUCUACUAUAGUGUCUUUGUGUUCACUGAUCUUUCUUUUGUAGCAUCUGAUCAACUGUUAUGAUUGUACAAUGAAUUUUUCCCUGCAGAACUUGUAUUUUUCUUUUCUAGAAUUUCCAUUUUAGGCUGGGCGUGGUGGCUCAUGCCUGUAAUCCCAGCACUUUGGGAGGCUGAGGUGGGCGGAUCACGAGAUCAGGAGUUUAAGGCCAGCCUGACGAAUAUGGUGAAAUCCCAUCUCUACUAAAAAUACAAAAAUUAGCCAAGUGUGGUGGCACACGCCUGCAAUCCUAGCUUCUCAGGAGGCUGAGGCAGAAGAAUCGCUUGAACCCGGGAGGUGGAGGUUGCAGUGAGCUGAGAUCGCACCACUGCACUCCAGCCUGGGCGACAGAGCGAGACUCCAUCUCAAAAAAAAAAAAAAAAUAAUAAUAAUAAAAUCAUUUUCUGCUGUUCCCAGCAUCUCUGUUAUUUAUCUCUGUUUCUUUUGACUGAUUUUUCCUUUUGCUAUGGGUCAUAAUUUGGUGAUUUUUUGCAUGUCUAAUAAUUUUUUGUUGGAUGCAGGACAUCAUGAGUUUCUGUUGUUUAGUAUUUAGAUACAGUUGUCUUCCUUAAAAAAUUCUGAAAUUUGUUUUGGCAGACAGGUAAGUUAUAUGUAAGUUAUAUGUUUACUGAUUAAUCUUUACUAGACUUGCUUUAAAGCCUUUUUAGAACAAUUCUAGAAUAGGCUGUUCUUCAGGGCUAAGUUAGCUCUAGUACUAAGGUUUGAUCCUUCUGAAAUCUCUACAUAUUGCUCUGAGUGUUCCAGAAGGUGUAUCUGCUCUGGCUCGUUAGAAUUUGCAUGCCUCUCAGCCUUGUGCAAGUCUGGGAAUGGUUUUGAUUAUAGUUCUUCCGUUCUUUAUCUAGCCUUGUGGAUCUUCCCCCUAUGAAUGUACAGAUUAAUAUUCAGCCAAUGACUCAAGGGGCCACCUCUGUAGAUCUCCGUAACUCUUUCUUUGCACAAUUCACUUG